rnacentral:rRNA from 1 species
AAACUACCAAGGAGCAGGUAUCAGGCACAACCCAUUAGCCCAAAACACCUUGCUACGCCACACCCACACGGGCACCCAGCAGUGAUAAAUAUUAAGCAAUGAGUAAAAGCUAAAUAAAGCUCGACUUAGUUAUGGUUAUUAGGGCCGGUAAACCUCGUGCCAGCCACCGCGGUUAUACGAGGGGCCCAAAACAACAGACACCGGCGUAAAUUGUGACUAGAGCACCUACUUACAUCAUUGGAAAAUAAACAAAAACUCAAUCGUAAAACCUGAGCCAAAAGAAACACACUUUUCCAACUACAAAGAAGCUUGAACCCACGAAGACUAAGAAACAAACUAGGAUUAGAUACCCUACUAUGCUUAGUUGUUAAUAUGAUACCAAAAACACUGGUAUCCGCCAGAAAAUUACACGCGAAAAGCUUAAAACUCAAAGGACUUGGCGGUGCUCCGUAUUCGCCUUAGAGGAGCCUGUCCUAUAAUCGAUAACCCACGCUUUACCUUACCAUCUUUUGUCAAAACAGCCUAUAUACCGCCGUCGCAAACUCACCCCAUGAGGGCAAAACAGUAAGUAAAAUAGUAGUACACUAACACGUCAGGUCAAGGUGUAGCUAAUAAGAUGGAAGAGAUGGGCUACAUUUUCUAAAACAGAAUACACGGCAAAGAGCAUUGAAAUAUACUCUAAAAGGUGGAUUUAAUAGUAAGAUAGAAAAGAAGACCUAUCUAAAAA